rfam:Bradyrhizobium lablabi strain CCBAT 23086 scaffold6, whole genome shotgun sequence.
GGACGCAUAGCUCAGCGGGAGAGCGUUCCCUUCACACGGGAGAGGUCCAAGGUUCGAUCCCUUGUGCGUCCA